UACGUAGGGUGCGAGCGUUAAUCGGAAUUACUGGGCGUAAAGCGUGCGCAGGCGGUUUUGUAGGCCAGAUGUGAAAUCCCCGGGCUUAACCUGGGAAUGGCAUUUGGGACUGCAAGGCUUGAGUGCGGCAGAGGAGACUGGAAUUCCUGGUGUAGCAGUGAAAUGCGUAGAUAUCAGGAGGAACACCGAUGGCGAAGGCAGGUCUCUGGGCUGACACUGACGCUCAUGCACGAAAGCGUGGGGAGCAAACAGG
rnacentral:rRNA from 1 species